rnacentral:misc_RNA from 1 species
UACGGAGGGGGUUAGCGUUGUUCGGAAUUACUGGGCGUAAAGCGUACGUAGGCGGAUCAGAAAGUAUAGGGUGAAAUCCCAGGGCUCAACCCUGGAACUGCCUUAUAAACUCCUGGUCUUGAGUUCGAGAGAGGUGAGUGGAAUUCCAAGUGUAGAGGUGAAAUUCGUAGAUAUUUGGAGGAACACCAGUGGCGAAGGCGGCUCACUGGCUCGAUACUGACGCUGAGGUACGAAAGUGUGGGGAGCAAACAGG